ensembl:lncRNA
GGCAAGCAGAGCUGGACAGUGAGCAUUUGAAAUAUAUGACAGUUUUCUAAUGUUAGCUGAAAGUUUAACUUCACGUAAAGGACGUUCACUAGAGUUGUUGGUGACAACGUUUAAUGACUGUUAGAUAACGUUAGCCAGCUAGCUAGUCAUUCAUCAGACUUUGAGACUUAUUUUCUUACAGCUCCCAAUCAAUUUAACUAUGUGGAAAAGUAAUCUACAUCACCACCUAGAUAAUCUUCUACAACUACUACCACAUUCACCACCACCUCAAGACAGUCCGUCUUAACUGGCCUUCCCAAAGAGGACACAUUGUGGUGUCUGAAUAUGAUCGAGUGUCUACUCUUUCCACUCUAGUGAACGCACGGGUGUGCUGUUCUCAGAUGUUCCCAGACAGUGCAAUAGCCAAGACCUCAACAUGUGCGGCAACAAAGUCCAGCUAUUUGUGCACACAUGGCUUGGCUCCUCAUUUCAAGCACUUGUCUAAAAAACUGUCUGCUGGGGAGGAGAACUAUGUACUUCUCUUUGAUGAGAGCCUUAACAGAAAAACACAGUCAAAACAGUGUGACUUUCAUGUCCGUUUAUGGGAUGAGGACAAAGUUGUGAUGAGAUUUUAUGAUUCUAAAUUUGUGGGACAUGUGAUAGCGUUGGACCUUAAAGCUGUCUAUGAGAAGAGCACCGAAGAUCUACCAAAGUAAAACAUGGUUCAGAUCUCCAUGGAUGGACCAAAUGUAAAUUGGUCAUUUUACUCAAAGGUUGAGAAGUCCCUCCUAGAUUUUGAUGUACACCUUAUAGACAUUGUCAGUUGCGGUCUCCAUAUUGUACAUGGAGCAUUUCAGAAGGGAGUGGAAAGUCGACAGUGUACUGCAUGCUAUGUACCAACUUCUGAAGGAUACUCCAGCCCGCAGGGAGGACUGCUUUAACAUCAUUGGUUCAUCAGAUCCCCCAAUGCCACUUAAGUUUUGCAAGACACGGUGGGUUGCUUGCUUGAAAGAGCUUUAGAGUUUUUACCCCAUAUGGCAACAUAUGUGAAGGCUGUAGAGAAGAGCGGUCCAAAUGCAGGCACAAAGUCCUUUGAGGUGAUUCAGGAGGCUGUUAAGGAACCUCUCAUGACAGCAAAACUGAAUUUCAUCUUGUCAGUGAGCAAAGAAGUGACACCAUUCCUCACACGCUACCAGACCGAUAAGCCCAUGGUGUCAUUUUUCUCUGCAGACUUGUUCAAGGUGCUUAAGAGCUUGAUGAGCAGAUGAAUUAAGCCAGACCUCAUGAAAGAAGCGAAGACCCCUCAAAAACGUAUUGAUGUCAAGGUGAGACAGUCAUCAAAUCACAUCCACUCCUCACAUGUCGACUUGGGCUUUAUUACUGAAAGAAUUGUGAGAGACUUGUCCGCAGGGAAAUGGCAGGCACAAAUGGAAAGAUGCUGUGUACAGCAAAAUUGAAGGCCCUGAUCUACCUUGUAAAUAGUCAUCGGGUGAAGGAAGAAUCAAAUCAAAUCAAAUUUUAUUGUGAUGAUUGUGAAGAUUGUGAUGACAUCAUUCGACAAUACUCACAUUUUAUUGAUGACGUUGUCCAGGCCCAUCACUCAGAGUUUGUAAACUUUGAUCCUGUCCAAGACAGCUUGGACACAUUUUUAUAUGAGUUUGUCAUAGGACAAAGAGCUCAAAUUUAUGGAGACUUUGCAGCCAACUCCUCUUACUGUCACACAGGCAAGCCUCAGUAGAGCGCGGAUUCUCCAUCAAUCGGCAGAUUGAAGUGGAGAACUUGAAACAAGAUUCAUAUGUAGCACAGAGAUGUUUAGUUGACCACAUAAGAGCUGCGGGUGGCAUACAUAAUGUGUGCAUUGACAGACCACCGCUUAUGUCAGUGGCAUCUGCAAGGCAGAGUAUGUGACACAUCAAGAAGAACAGAGACAGAAGAAUGGAUGAGCAAAAAACAGAAAGAGAAAAGACCUUAUAGAUUAAAUAGAUUAACUUUAGGGGAAGAAAAGAAGACUGACAGAUGACAUAAAUGCUCUCGAGACCUCAGCAGACAAAUUUGCACUCAAAGAGGAGAGCACAGGCAACCUCACUCUUAUUGCCAAGUCCAAUAGCCUGAGAAAGGGUGGUAAAGAUAAGAGCACAAGCAGCUGAAAUAGAA